GAUGAACGCUAGCGACAGGCCUAACACAUGCAAGUCGAGGGGCAGCGCGGAGUAGCAAUACUUUGGCGGCGACCGGCGCACGGGUGAGUAACACGUAUGCAACCUGCCUUUAAUAGGAGGAUAGCCUCUUGAAAGAGAGAUUAACCCACCAUAAGAUAGUAUUUCCGCAUGGAGAAGCUAUAAAAUUCUAAAGAUUAAAGAUGGGCAUGCGUUUCAUUAGUUAGUUGGUGAGGUAACGGCUCACCAAGGCGACGAUGAAUAGGGGUUCUGAGAGGAAGGUCCCCCACACUGGUACUGAGACACGGACCAGACUCCUACGGGAGGCAGCAGUGAGGAAUAUUGGUCAAUGGGCGAGAGCCUGAACCAGCCAUGUCGCGUGCAGGAUUACAGCCCUAUGGGUUUUAAACUGCUUUUAUACGGGGAUAAAAUGUACUACGCGUAGUAUAUUGCAGGUACCGUAUGAAUAAGGAUCGGCUAACUCCGUGCCAGCAGCCGCGGUAAUACGGAGGAUCCGAGCGUUAUCCGGAUUUAUUGGGUUUAAAGGGUGCGUAGGCGGGAUUAUAAGUCAGUGGUGAAAUCUUACAGCUCAACUGUAGAACUGCCAUUGAAACUGUAGUUCUUGAGUAUACCGGAAGUAGGCGGAAUGUGUAAUGUAGCGGUGAAAUGCAUAGAUAUUACACAGAACCCCAAUUGCGAAGGCAGCUUACUAUAGUACAACUGACGCUGAGGCACGAAAGCGUGGGGAUCAAACAGGAUUAGAUACCCUGGUAGUCCACGCCGUAAACGAUGAUAACUCGCUGUUUGCGAUAUACAGCAAGCGGCCAAGCGAAAGCGAUAAGUUAUCCACCUGGGGAGUACGCCCGGCAACGGUGAAACUCAAAGGAAUUGACGGGGGCCCGCACAAGCGGAGGAACAUGUGGUUUAAAUUCGAUGAUACGCGAGGAACCUUACCCCGGGCUUGAAAUGCAGAGGAUAUAUUGGAAACAUUAUAGCCAGCAAUGGUCUCUGUGUAAGGUCCUGCAUGGUUGUCGUCAGCUCGUGCCGUGAGGUGUCGGCUUAAGUGCCAUAACGAGCGCAACCCCUAUUUAUAGUUACCAACAGGUUAAGCUGGGGACUCUAUAGAGACUGCCACCGUAAGGUGCGAGGAAGGUGGGGAUGACGUCAAAUCAGCACGGCCCUUACGUCCGGGGCGACACACGUGUUACAAUGGGGGGUACAGAGGGCAGCUACCUGGCGACAGGAUGCCAAUCUCAGAAAGCCCCUCUCAGUUCGGAUCGGAGUCUGCAACUCGACUCCGUGAAGCUGGAUUCGCUAGUAAUCGCGCAUCAGCCAUGGCGCGGUGAAUACGUUCCCGGGCCUUGUACACACCGCCCGUCAAGCCAUGGAAGCUGGGGGUACCUAAAGUACGUAACCGCAAGGAGCGUCCUAGGGUAAAACUAGUAACUGGGGCU
rnacentral:rRNA from 1 species